rnacentral:snRNA from 1 species
AUACUUCCUUGUAGGGCAGAUACCAUGAUCAUGAAGGUGGUUUUCCCAGAGCUAUGCUCAUCCAUUGUGCUCGGGCUAGCCGACCCCUGAAAUUUCCCCAAAUGUGGGAAACCUACCUGCAUAAUUUGUUGUAGUGGGCAACUUCAUUCACACUCUCUCCCUA